rnacentral:tRNA from 1 species
GGGCCCGUGGCGCAGCAUGGAUACGCUAGUGCCAAAAAGCGCGUCGGCCUUCUAAGCCGGAGAUCCCGGGUUCAAAUCCCGGCGGGCCCG